UACAGAGGGGGCAAGCGUUGUUCGGAAUUACUGGGCGUAAAGGGCGCGUAGGCGGCCUUCUAAGUCGAACGUGAAAUCCCCGGGCUCAACCCGGGAACUGCGUCCGAGACUGGGAGGCUUGAAUCCGGGAGAGGGAUGCGGAAUUCCAGGUGUAGCGGUGAAAUGCGUAGAUAUCUGGAGGAACACCGGUGGCGAAGGCGGCAUCCUGGACCGGUAUUGACACUGAGGCGCGAAAGCCAGGGGAGCAAACGGG
rnacentral:rRNA from 1 species